rnacentral:rRNA from 1 species
AAUCGAUGGAUGGCCCGCUGUUGGCGAUAUACUGGUGAGCGAUCAUGAAGAAAUUCGUUAAGCAUCCCCACUGGGGAGUACGCGGGCAACGGUGAAACUCAAAGGAAUUGACGGGGGGCCGCACAAGCGGAGGAACAUGUGGGUUUAAUUCGAUGAUACGCGAGGAACCUUACCCGGGGCUUGAACUGCCAGCGAACGAUUCAGAGAUGAUGAGGCCCUUCGGGGCGCUGGUGGAGGUGCUGCAUGGUUGUCGUCAGCUCGUGCCGUGAGGUGUCGGCUGGAGUGCCAUAACGCGCGCAACCCUUUUCUUUAGUUGCCAUCAGGUAAUGCUGGGCACUCUGGAGAUACUGCCACCGUAAGGUGUGAGGAAGGUGGGGAUGACGUCAAAUCAGCACGGCCCUUACGUCCGGGGCUACACACGUGUUACAAUGGGGGGUACAGAGAGUCGGAUAUACGCAAGUAUGUUCUAAUCCUUAAAGCCUUCCUCAGUUCGGAUUGGGGUCUGCAACCCGACCCCAUGAAGCUGGAUUCGCUAGUAAUCGCGCAUCAGCCAUGGCGCGGUGAAUACGUUCCCGGGCCUUGUACACACCGCCCGUCAAGCCAUGAAAGCCGGGGGCGCUUGAAGUCCGUGACCGCAAGGAUCGGCCUAGGGCGAAACUGGUAAUUGGGGCUAAGUCGUAACAAGGUAGCCGUA